AGAAGUUCAUCUGUGUGAACUUAUUCCAAACAGCUUUUGGAGUAGUGCGUGUGAACGUAAACACAGUUUGAACGUUUUUUGGAUAGAGACAACUAUGUCUAACAAAAAACCAGGAAGACCCGGCUCAGGCCGGGUUGUCAAUAUGCUAAAGC
rfam:Tembusu virus strain ZJQT17, complete genome